UAGGACCUUCUACACUUCAAAGUGAAUGUAUUUGUAUAUUUAUCCUGAAAUAGGUCCUUAAUAGGCUAUACAUUAUUAGAAGGGGGAUUCUUCACUUGCAUGUGAAAGGGUUAAAUGCAACUAUUCAUUGUUGUCACACUAUGCCAUCAAAACUAACUUUGUGUUUUUUUUCUUCUUCAUUUGCAUAUUUAUGGGACACUGAAGACCAUUCAAAGCUCACGGCAGAAAAGAUGGCACAGGUGUGGAAGGUCGUCGAAUUCAAAGAUAGGAGCACUACCAUAGUGCCAAGCAGCUGGUUGGAGGAGGCAGGGGAGUCAUGGAAUUGUUUCUGGCCUCCUAGUUCUUACGAUCAUAACCGCCUCCAGAAGGCAGUCGCGCACCACCUUCCUCCAGGUGCAGCGUGGGACGUGCACGGUGACGUGAGGGUCUUGGUUAGCUGUGCAACAUAUGUUAAGGCAAAGGACUACCUGAAAAAGUCCUUACUGUGUUUAACAUCAGACAUACAGUCAGAGGCUGAAGACCCUAUCAGAAGGAAAAAAAGGCCAAACUCACGCUACCUGCAGGAGCCAGCUGGAAGAGUCCAGACCACUACGGGCCCGCCGCAACACUUUUUUGAAGGUGUGGACACUGAUGACGAGGCACCACCCCCCCCCCAAGGAAAACAGCACGACAAUCUGUAGAGGUAGGGCCAG
ensembl:lncRNA